rnacentral:rRNA from 1 species
AGCGAACGCUGGCGGCAGGCCUAACACAUGCAAGUCGAACGAACUCUUCGGAGUUAGUGGCGGACGGGUGAGUAACACGUGGGAACGUGCCUUUAGGUUCGGAAUAACUCAGGGAAACUUGUGCUAAUACCGAAUGUGCCCUUCGGGGGAAGAUUUAUCGCCUUUAGAGCGGCCCGCGUCUGAUUAGCUAGUUGGUGAGGUAAAGGCUCACCAAGGCGACGAUCAGUAGCUGGUCUGAGAGGAUGAUCAGCCACAUUGGGACUGAGACACGGCCCAAACUCCUACGGGAGGCAGCAGUGGGGAAUCUUGCGCAAUGGGCGAAAGCCUGACGCAGCCAUGCCGCGUGAAUGAUGAAGGUCUUAGGAUUGUAAAAUUCUUUCACCGGGGACGAUAAUGACGGUACCCGGAGAAGAAGCCCCGGCUAACUUCGUG